AUUGACCUGGAGAAGGAGCUUACCUUCCAUGGAUGAGGAGCUGGUUGGUCUAAACACGAGCUGCCUUCGGACCUCCACCGCCGGAUCCCCCAGCCGUCCUCCACCUCCAGGCCGUCUCCUCCAGGACCUCCACCGGGCCAACCGCCUGGACCUCCGCAACGUCGCCUCAUUUCUUCUGAAAUGAGACACGCGUUCUAUUUGCACCCCGGACAUUCCUCCCCGUUCAUGAUGCACUGGAGAAGAGUUUAGCUUUACUGGAUGAGGAGCCUCCGCCUCCGGGCCCUCCAGGACGCCGCCGCCGGGCCCUCCAGGAUGGUCUCCACAAUCCGCCUCCAGGACCUCCAGGUAGUCCGCCUCCAGGAUGGCCGCUGCCGCCGCCUCCAGGCCCACCGCCUCCAGGACUUCCAGGUUGGCCACCGCCUCCAGGCCGGCCACCACCAUGUGGACGCCACCUCCAGGACCUCCAGGAUGGUCUCCACAAUCCGCCUCCAGGACCUCCAGGUAGUCCGCCUCCAGGAUGGCCGCUGCCGCCGCCGCCUCCAGGCCCACCGCCUCCAGGACCUCCAGGUUGGCCACCGCCUCCAGGCCGGCCGCCACCAUGUGGACGCCACCUCCAGGCCCUCCAGGAUGGUCUCCACAAUCCGCCUCCAGGACCUCCAGGUAGUCCGCCUCCAGGAUGGCCGCUGCCGCCGCCGCCUCCAGGCCCACCGCCUCCAGGACCUCCAGGUUGGCCUCCGCCUCCAGGACCUCCGCCGUCUCCAGGCCUUCCAGGAGCCGCCACCUGGCCCCUCCAUGCUGCCCCUUCCAGGUUGGACGCAUCCAGGACUUCCAGGCUGGCCUCCGCCUCCAGGCUGGCCUCCGCCUCAGUCCUUCUGAAAGGCGAAUGACACGUUCCAUUUGCACACUGCACAUUUCUCCCCGUACAUGAUGCAGAUAAUCAACUCCUCCUCCGCUUUAGCUCCCACGGAUCUCACUGAUGCCAAACUGUGCAGUCUUGAGUGAGGUAUUAUUUAACCCAACAGCCAGCCACACACACACCUAGCCUACAUCCUGGAGCUGGUCCUAGUGGCUGAGAAUGCAUCUGACAUUUUUCAGAACACCUCAGAGUUGCUGUGGCUGCAUGUCAAAGGUUUAAUUCUAAACAAUUCACCAAGCCUAGAAAAAAUGUGCAGCUGUGCAGCUGCGUGUCUCACCGUUCUGCAUCCCUUGGGCUGCACGGCUCUCGGCCUUCCCUCCACCUGCAGCGAGCGCCUCCAGACGACCGCCACGGCCCUCACGGCGAGCACCUCCAGACGACCGCCACGGACCUCCAGACGAGCACCUCCAGACGACCGCCACGGCGAGCACCUCCAGACGACCGCCACGGACCUCCAGACGAGCACCUCCAGACGACCGCCAUGGACCUCCAGGUGAGCACCUCCAGACGACCGCCACGGACCUCCAGACGAGCACCUCCAGACGACCGCCACGGACCUCAUGGCGAGCACCUCCAUCACCUCUACUGAAACAAGAUACAAUCUAUUUCAACACUGGAGAUUUUUUCUCCUCGCUCACUCAGACGUCAGUAGCUUAUCUUCUCCCAUACUGGGCGUUCUUGAGAAGUAUCAUUUCCUAUAAACUCCAGUGAUGGCUGAAUUCCAGUUUUAUUCUGAACCGUUUGACGACGCCAUGGAGGAGUUUAUAGGAUGUGCAGUUCCACGGCUCACCCGUCGUUCCUGUAGGACUGAACGGCUCCUGGCCACCAUCCACCUGCAGCUCCCAGCUCCAGACCCUCUGUUGAAGCCUCUGGGAGUACAAGCCGCUCCUGAACAAAAACAAACCACUGUUCAUAAAUUAUUUGGGACGCAUGAGCUUGGGUAGAAAAUGUUCAAAUCCUGGAUAAUGAUUAAUUGUUAUAAAAAUGUAAUUAAUAGAACUAUACACAUUAGUACUUCUAUAAAACAUUUAAUGAAUAGUGGGAAACUACACAAGAAAAGUAAAUGAAUAGUUUUAACGCGGUUAUAUUAGUAAAGCAAGUCUUACCCAACGAGUCAAUAAAUGGUGACCACAUUUUAUUAUUAUUAACUAUUUAGUGCUUCACUAAAUUCCUAUAGCAAGUGGAAACGUUACUCUCCUUCAUUGGUGAUGUUCAUGUUCCUCGAUAUCUUCCAAUGGACUCGUUGUGAAAUCCUUCUGGAUCCUCUGCGUUGAAAUGCGUUGUUCAAUUUCCAAGGGGCGCGUCUAAAGGGCGCGAUAUAAAAUGGGUCGAUGCUAUUGGAUAGGCCUCGACUAAUCAUAGCAUUGGAACGGGUGAUGCAGAAAUACAUAUUCCUCAAAAUCUUUGAGUAGUAGUCGUUCGUUCUUUUAGUGAGCAUAUACAGUCUUUAGUUCUAACUUCCAUCUUUGUUGUUGAAACACCUCUACAUGUUGCGUAUAUCUAACCUCACAUUAGAUGGCCUAAAGGGUUGCUAUUGGUCGGUCUAUUUCGUACCGAGCAGAAAACGUUAUAUAACGGAGGGGCGCCUGACCGCAUCUUUGAAGAGCAAAUUAUAUACGAGGUCCGUCUAGUUCCGAAGCUAUUGGUGAAAUACGCAAAACGAAUAUUGAAGUGUUAAUUUGGGCAUUUAAGUUGCAUCUACAUUUUGCCAGUGAAGGAGUUUAGGUUUGCCAAUCCGAGGUCUAACGGGCAGUAAACGUGUUCAUUAAAAUACAAAUGCAAAGUCCACAGAACAUACGCGAAUAAAAACCACAUUGCACCACCAGCGGUCAACAGCAGCAGCAGCAAGUGUAUUGAAAGUAGAAAAGUAGCAAAGAGAAGAAUAGAAUUGGGAGAGUGGUGUGCAAGUCAGACACCGCAUCUAACCCAGGACCACCUUGCAGAUCACAAGCAGCAAACCUUCUACCAGACCAACCAAACACACAACAGGCCCCCAGUCAGUAGGGUCAGUCAGACAGGUUUCCACAGAAGGGCUCAGUGGGGUUAUGGGUUGAGCAAAAACAGAACUCUUUCUUCCUUCCACAAGUUUCCAUCCUGGAUUUUUCGGACAUGUGGAGUCGGACAUGUUUCAAGUUAUCCGUGGAUUCCCUGAGGGCAGUUAAGUAUCUGCAGAAGGUGACGUCCAGGUCCAGCGGUCUGCCGCAUUGACCACAAGAACUUUAACCGAGUGGGACCGCCUCUGUUUGUAGUAGGCCUACAACAGUUUGUGUUCAACAGCGUGGCGGUCCUGUAGUUUCCAUCAGAGUUGCUGCAGUUCUUCCAUACUGCUUCCACAGUGAGCAGAGGACGCUUCCCAGUGUGGUGGUCGGUGCUGUAGCGGUCCGCAGCGUUAGUCAGUCGAUCCCAUAUAUAAACCACUCAACACAAACUACCACUUCCAUCAGCAAAUCCACAUUAACCUCCAGCGGUAAAACAUGUACAAUAGAGGGGCAAGAACAGACGACAGGAGGAGAUGGGGAGAGUGUAACAUGUGCAGUGCCCAUGAAGGAAGUACCCCGCGUUACUCACUGCGUGGUUCGCGGGGUCCACGUCGGUGGCCACGAUGUCCGGAUUGUUCAGCCCACGCAAUCCAACGCAAAAUAAACGAUUAACAUCCGGCACGGUGGGGGCGCCUUAUGAGGAGAGGCGGGGGAGACGCAGCUGAAAUCAAUUAAGAACUAGCGACCAGAAGAACGUGAUUGGUUGUGAGCGAGAAGCUCGAGACGAGAGACGGCAAAGGAGACGAGAAACGGUAAAGGCGCACGAAGAUUUUGUGUGACGGCUGGCUUAACCGUAUGGAAAGCCAAGAAGGCCACAAUCCGGCCCUAGAAUGGCGCGGUAAAAGUGCAAGAUUCUUGCCAAAUCCGUACGGAAUCCGUACGGUUUCCGUGCGGUUUUGCACUUUUACCGUGCCAUUCUAGGGCCGGAUUGUGGCCUUCUUGGCUUUCCAUAUAACCACGGAUGAACGAAUGGCGGCUCACUUGACCGCAGUCCCGUGGAGUAAGUGCAGGCAGGCUCCCACGGUGGGGCCCCAUUGGCUGGCUCGGGUAAAGGGUGCGUUCUCCUUUCUGCCAGACGCGACGCGCAGCCCCUUAACGCGUAAAAACAACAAACCGACAACAACUCACACCAAGCCCUGUGUGUUCCUGAGCGGGUGCAGCGCAUAUGCGCUCACGGGCGCCAGCUAGGGGAGAGCUAGGGGAGAGCGGACUACACUCCGUCGACCACCCCCCCCCCCGGGCAACCUGGGCCGCUGGGCUGGAGCCAGGUGGCCCAGGUUCCUUGAUCAGUCCAUGAAAUAUAUUUAGGUACUUAGUGAAGCUAUAGGUCAUAGUGUAGGUCAUUGAACGCGAUUGUUAUUAUCUGCCUAGAUCGAUUCAAUAAUUACAAAUUAUGGAGUUGAAUGGGACUCUACAAAGGUACCAGGGUAAUUUUUUUCCUGCUUAAGCCUGCAAACCAAUCAGUUUAACUAAUUACAAUCUGCAUCCAAGAGAGGGUUAAACUUCUAUGACACCUGUAUAUAAUGCCACAGUGUGUGUGGACGUGUGGAACUCCAUCUUGCCAGUAGUUGAUGUUGAUGGCGCGUCCGAGAGAGUGCUAAGCUUCCUGGACAAUCUCUGCCAAGUCUGUUCUUCUUAAUGCCACUCAAUUCUGCAAACUGCACCUUUCAAUAUAUUAUCGUUAAAAUGAUAAAGUAUUUAUCAUUUUAACUAUAAUAAUAUGAUUUAGACUAUCCAGACAAUAUUGUAUUGUGAGAUCUUUGUUUGUAAAGAUGUCUGUAGUCAUGCACUGACACAGCCUUCUUCUGUGUUUUCUGGCUUUUAACAUUCAGUUUUUCCGAGAGUGCACCUGGAUAUGGUUCAUUAUAUAUAAAUAUAAAUUUGUCUGUGUGUGUGUGCGUGUGCAAGUACAUGUGUGUGCGUGGGCACGUGCGCGCGUGUGGCGGUGCAAGUAGUGUUCGUGGGCACGUGCAUGUGUGCGUGUGCUCGUGCAAGUAGAUGUAUGUACGUGGGCAUGUAUGUGUGUGUGUGUGUGUGUGUGUGUGUGUGUGUGUGUGUGUGUGUGUGUGUGUGUGUGUGUGUGCAUGUGCGUUCAGGUGCUUUUGAAAGUAAGGUGGCACUAUGAAUAUCAAUGUGCUGCAGUGUUUCAUAACCUAACUCCAAUGUCUCACACUUCUUCACCUCCCGGAGACAGAGAGACACUGAGAUAAGGAUAGAAAGAGGAAGAGAGGCAGUGAAAGAAGGAGAGCGAGACACUGAGAGAAAGAGAAAGGAAGAGAGAUGCAGAAAAAGAGAGAGAUGAAGAGAGACAAGAGAGGAGGAGGGAGUGGAAGAGAGACACAGGGAAGGAGAGAGAGGAAGAGAGACACAGGGAAGGAAAGAGAGAAUGAGAGAAUGAGAGAGUGGAAGAGACACAAAAAUGGGGAAAGAGGGAGAGAGAAUGGGAGACAAUGGGAAAGAGAGAGAGUGAAAGAAGACAUGGAUAAAAAGAGAAAGCAAGUGAGGGAGAGACAGAGAGAGACUAAGAGAAGGUGCAGAAAAGGAAAAACGAGGAGAGAAUUGAGAGGAGGAGGAGGAGGAGGAGGAGAAGGAGGGCGUUGAAAAUAACACAGGAACACAGACUCAAGAGGAUGGCAAGAAAGAGCAGGUGAGAAUAUAUUGUUCUAACCGUAAGAGCACGAUGGGAU
ensembl:lncRNA